GAUGAACGCUAGCGACAGGCCUAACACAUGCAAGUCGAGGGGCAGCAUGAAAUUAGCUUGCUAAUUUUGAUGGCGACCGGCGCACGGGUGAGUAACACGUAUGCAACCUGCCUGUAAGCGGGGGAUAACCCGGAGAAAUUCGGACUAAUACCGCAUAACAUCAUUGAUUCGCAUGUUUCAAUGAUUAAAAAUUUAUUGCUUACAGAUGGGCAUGCGUAUGAUUAGCUAGUUGGCGGGGUAACGGCCCACCAAGGCGACGAUCAUUAGGGGUUCUGAGAGGAAGGUCCCCCACAUUGGAACUGAGACACGGUCCAAACUCCUACGGGAGGCAGCAGUGAGGAAUAUUGGUCAAUGGACGAGAGUCUGAACCAGCCAUGUCGCGUGAAGGAUGACUGUCCUAUGGAUUGUAAACUUCUUUUAUAUGGGGAUAAAGUGUGAGACUUGUCUCAUUUUGCAUGUACCUUAUGAAUAAGCAUCGGCUAACUCCGUGCCAGCAGCCGCGGUAAAAC
rnacentral:rRNA from 1 species